UGCCUUUGGUCGCAUAAACUCAUGUAAAAAUGGCUCGAAAAAAUGGCAACUUGCACUUUCACCCUGUCAUUACUGGCCACUCUGCUUUG